rnacentral:rRNA from 1 species
UGGGGAAUUUUGGACAAUGGGCGCAAGCCUGAUCCAGCCAUGCCGCGUGAGUGAAGAAGGCCUUCGGGUUGUAAAGCUCUUUCGGCGGGGACGAAACGGUUCGUGACAACACCACGGACUAAUGACGGUACCCGCAUAAGAAGCACCGGCUAACUACGUGCCAGCAGCCGCGGUAAUACGUAGGGUGCAGGCGUUAAUCGGAAUUACUGGGCGUAAAGCGUGCGCAGGCGGUUGUGUAAGUCAGAUGUGAAAUCCCCGGGCUCAACCUGGGAAUUGCAUUUGAGACUGCACGGCUAGAGUGUGUCAGAGGGGGGUAGAAUUCCACGUGUAGCAGUGAAAUGCGUAGAUAUGUGGAGGAAUACCGAUGGCGAAGGCAGCCCCCUGGGAUAACACUGACGCUCAUGCACGAAAGCGUGGGGAGCAAACAGGAUUAGAUACCCUGGUAGUCCCUGAGCGGGCUGGCAAGGCGCAU